rnacentral:rRNA from 1 species
UAAGCAUGUAGGCUGGUUAUCCAGGCAAAUCCGGAUAAUCAAGGCUGAGGUGUGAUGACGAGGCACUACGGUGCUGAAGUAACAAAUGCCCUGCUUCCAGGAAAAGCCUCUAAGCAUCAGGUAACAUUAAAUCGUACCCCAAACCGACACAGGUGGUCAGGUAGAGAAUACCAAGGCGCUUGAGAGAACUCGGGUGAAGGAACUAGGCAAAAUGGUGCCGUAACUUCGGGAGAAGGCACGCUGGUGUGUAGGUGA